rnacentral:rRNA from 1 species
AUUGAACGCUGGCGGCAGGCUUAACACAUGCAAGUCGAGCGGGGGAAGGUAGCUUGCUACCGGACCUAGCGGCGGACGGGUGAGUAAUGCUUAGGAAUCUGCCUAUUAGUGGGGGACAACAUCUCGAAAGGGAUGCUAAUACCGCAUACGUCCUACGGGAGAAAGCAGGGGAUCUUCGGACCUUGCGCUAAUAGAUGAGCCUAAGUCGGAUUAGCUAGUUGGUGGGGUAAAGGCCUACCAAGGCGACGAUCUGUAGCGGGUCUGAGAGGAUGAUCCGCCACACUGGGACUGAGAAACGGCCCAGCCUCCUACGGGAGGCAGCAGUGGGGAAUAUUGGACAAUGGGGGGAACCCUGAUCCAGCCAUGCCGCGUGUGUGAAGAAGGCCUUAUGGUUGUAAAGCACUUUAAGCGAGGAGGAGGCUACUCUAGUUAAUACCUAGGGAUAGUGGACGUUACUCGCAGAAUAAGCACCGGCUAACUCUGUGCCAGCCGCCGCGGUAA